GAUGAACGCUGGCGGCGUGCCUAAUACAUGCAAGUCGAGCGAAUGGAUUAAGAGCUUGCUCUUAUGAAGUUAGCGGCGGACGGGUGAGUGACACGUGGGUAACCUGCCCAUAAGACUGGGAUAACUCCGGGAAACCGGGGCUAAUACCGGAUAACAUUUUGAACCGCAUGGUUCGAAAUUGAAAGGCGGCUUCGGCUGUCACUUAUGGAGGGACCCGCGUCGCAUUAGCUAGUUUGGGAGGUAACGGCUCACCAAGGCAACGAUGCGUAGCCGACCUGAGAGGGUGAUCGGCCACACUGGGACUGAGACACGGCCCAGACUCCUACGGGAGGCAGCAGUAGGGAAUCCUCCGCAAUGGACGAAAGUCUGACGGAGCAACGCCGCGUGAGUGAUGAAGGCUUUCGGGUCGUAAAACUCUGUUGUUAGGGAAGAACAAGUGCUAGUUGAAUAAGCUGGCACCUUGACGGUACCUAACCAGAAAGCCACGGCUAACUACGUGCCAGCCGCCGCCGUAA
rnacentral:rRNA from 1 species